GAACAAUGUAAUGCCAGUUACUAAUAGUCCACCAUCACUGCAGUAUCCCAUAAGUUUAUUACUUGAGCAAAUGGACCAGCAGAAUUUUUAAUUGCAGGAUUCACUGUAAAAUCUGAAUUUUAGUAGGUGCAGCUGCAGACACAAUUGGUUAUUACAUCAACUCCCUUUAAAAAUCCCAAAAAUGUGCAAUUUCAUAAUAGGAAAUAUAUUGCUAGUAGAUGCAAUGCUUCUUAUAUUGAAUUUUGUCUUGAUAAUAAGGGAAGAGAAACUCACAAUAUAGCCUCUAUAGGCUGCUU
rnacentral:misc_RNA from 1 species